GAUGAAGAACGUAGCGAAAUGCGAUAAGUAAUGUGAAUUGCAGAAUUCAGUGAAUCAUCGAAUCUUUGAACGCACAUUGCGCCCUCUGGUAUUCCGGGGGGCAUGCCUGUUCGAGCGUCAUUAUAACCACUCAAGCUCUCGCUUGGUAUUGGGGUUCGCGGUUCCACGGCCCCUAAAAUCAGUGGCGGUGCCUGUCGGCUCUACGCGUAGUAAUACUCCUCGCGAUUGAGUCCGGUAGGUCUACUUGCCAGCAACCCCCAAUUUUUACAGGUUGACCUCGGAUCAGGUAGGGAUACCCGCUGAACUUAAGCAUAUCAAUAAGCGGAGGA
rnacentral:misc_RNA from 1 species